rnacentral:rRNA from 1 species
AGCGUAGACGGCUGUGUAAGUCUGAAGUGAAAGCCCGGGGCUCAACCCCGGGACUGCUUUGGAAACUAUGCAGCUAGAGUGUCGGAGAGGUAAGUGGAAUUCCCAGUGUAGCGGUGAAAUGCGUAGAUAUUGGGAGGAACACCAGUGGCGAAGGCGGCUUACUGGACGAUGACUGACGUUGAGGCUCGAAAGCGUGGGGAGCAAAC